rnacentral:rRNA from 1 species
AUUGAACGCUGGCGGCAGGCCUAACACAUGCAAGUCGAACGAGUGGCGGACGGGUGAGUACUGUCUGGGAAACUGCCCGAUGGAGGGGGAUAACUACUGGAAACGGUAGCUAAUACCGCAUACCCUCGGAUGUGCCCAGAUGGGAUUAGCUAGUAGGUGGGGUAACGGCUCACCUAGGCGACGAUCCCUAGCUGUUCUGAGAGGAUGACCAGCCACACUGGAACUGAGAAACGGUCCAGACUCCUACGGGAGGAAGCAGUGGGGAAUAUUGCACAAUGGGCGCAAGCCUGAUGCAGCCAUGCCGCGUGUAUGAAGAAGGCCUUCGGGUUGUAAAGUACUUUCAGCGGGGAGGCGUUACUCGCAGAAGAAGCACCGGCUAACUCCGUGCCAGCAGCCGCGGUAAUAC